rnacentral:lncRNA from 1 species
UAUGAUUAUAUAUUUACCAAUGACUAUUACGGUUGAUAGCUUUAAAGUCUUUGCUUCUAUAUAUGCAGCUGAGAAUGACUUAUAAGUUCAUGGCAAAAGCAGCAACAUGAGUACGCAACCACAAGCAAGCUGAGGGGGUAAUAAUCUUGGUAGUUAAGUCUUAGAUUCAGUAUUUUGCUUUUGGAUACAUGUUUGCUGCCAUUUCAGAACAUUGAAACUUAUUUAGCAUUUCGUUUCUUAUAUGCUUCAUGCAAAUAAAACUGCAGUAAACAUAUGAGCCGAGAUUUUGCUUGGCAUGUGUAUGUAUGCAUGCCCUGAAUUUGCUUAGCAUUUUUAUGCAUACAACUAUUGGAAGCUUUUACAUGUCUUGGAACUGAGCUUUUGCAUGCCCUGUGUUUUCUGAAGCUGAGUCUUUUGUUAUUGGCUAGUACUUGAAACAGAGUCGAAGGCCUCUUGCCAUAUAACCAUUUAUGAAGUGCAUAUGUGAUGCCUUAUCUUGUAUUCCUACACAUAGUCCAGUAUUUUUUUCAUGUGUAAAAAGUGGCUGACCUGCCAUUACACUGUUAAGUAUUUUGUACACAUCAGGAAUCUUGUUGUAGAUACACACUGAGCUGAAAAUGAUGCUAGCAGAAAUAGGUUUUCUGUUAGCUACGCAUCUGGUUUAAAACAUGAUAUGACUACUUGCUUUGGAAUAGUAACGCCUUGAUAUUAUCUGAUCCUAUCUCAUGUAUAUUUUAGUUAUUUCUAGACAACGCUUUAGGAACCGAGUUCACUACAACUCGAAGUCUUGUGCAUGGAGGAGAAUUGAGAUAUUUGUGCAUUCUGUACUAGUCAAAAGGUAUGUGUAGAUAUUCUGCUCAUUCUAGUUCAUGCUGCUACUUUGUUAAGGUCUUCUUUUAUGAGCCUCUACCUUGUGCAAAUAAUAUGAUUAUUUAGCAGCCUAGUUUCAUAGCUUUGAAUCUCAUGUGAAUAAACUAUAUGUCUAGGUGUUUGCUGUUCUUUGCUUAACUAGAUAUCGAAGUAUAGACAACAAGCUCAUGUACAAGAUGGAAAUUAUGAUGGUUAUUUAGUUUAUUUCAUUGAUUCUCGGCAUAUUAAUUGAUUGUAACGUUCUAGCUUUAUUUAAGGAGAUCUAAAAGAAACAACAAGUAAUCUCCCUUUUCCUUUCUUUUACAAUUGUCAUUAUUUUAUAUGACCUUUUUUAGUCAAUCUGUUGUCAUCGGUCUGAAUUUUUAGACAAUUAAAAUUUGUGAUGAAUUCUUAAAUUGAUUAAGAAGACUGGAUUUGUAAAACUUUGUUUGUGUCGCUGGAUGCAGAUCUUUUAUAUCUUUCUAAUACCUUGAACUAACUAUUUUCUCCGCAGUUACAUAUAUGCAUAUCUUAUGCUCAUUUGCCAGGCUUGACCAAAGUUUCGCCGUCCUUUUGGUGUCUAUUAUUUGUGUAAGUUUCAUCGCUUUAGAAGUAAUAUUCAAUCCAAAGAUUUUCUUCAGUAGAGCAAUUCAGCUAGUAUGUUUGCAAGCAAAUUUAUGCCAGGACAAGUACUAGUAGUGGAGCUAAGAACAUAUUAGGGCACGAUAUUUAAUGGAUUAUUCAAGUAGGAUCCUGGCAAACUUUGCUAUCAAUUCUGUUCCCAUAUCCUCCGGCAUGCGAAAUCCCCCCUCAAGAGGCGAGCCAUUAGUGUUUUGAUGUCUGAGCCUAUCUCCAUUUUUUGUGCUACAAUAUAGAUAGUUUACCAAGGUUAUUAGCUUAUAGCAGAUCUACCAUCUUCUCCUUUCAGGUUGGCAUCAUGGUUGGAAGAUCUUCUGUGCUACUCUCUACAUGAUGUUUCUUCUACAUGAUAGCACUUGACGUCUAUAUGAUAGCGCUUGAAGUCUACAUGAUGUUUCUUGUAUUCAUAGCUCAAACCAUUUGUUUAGCUUAGUUUGAACAAAAAAUAUUAUUGUCUUACAUGUAAAUAAUGUUUACUAAUGUAGCUGGAUGCUACUGAACGCAUGUACG